AMAGGCAUUCCCUAGUACGGCGAGUGAACCGGGAAGAGCUCAAAUUUGAAAUCUGGCGUCCUCAGGGCGUCCGAGUUGUAAUCUAUAGAGGCGUUUUCCGUGCCGGACCGUGUCCAAGUUCCUUGGAACAGGAUAUCAAAGAGGGUGACAAUCCCGUACUUGACACGACGACCGGUGCUCUGUGAUACGUCUUCUACGAGUCGAGUUGUUUGGGAAUGCAGCUCAAAAUGGGUGGUGAGUUCCAUCUAAAGCUAAAUAUUGGCGAGAGACCGAUAGCGAACAAGUACCGUGAGGGAAAGAUGAAAAGCACUUUGGAAAGAGAGUUAAACAGUACGUGAAAUUGUUGAAAGGGAAACGAUUGAAGUCAGUCGUGACCGAGAGGCUCAGCCGGUUCUGCCGGUGUAUUCCCCUCGGUCGGGUCAACAUCAGUUUUGUCCGGUGGAUAAGGGCGGUAGGAAGGUGGCACCCUCGGGUGUGUUAUAGCCUGCCGUCGCAUACAUCGGGUGAGACUGAGGAACGCAGCUCGCCUUUAUGGCCGGGGUUCGCCCACGUCCGAGCUUAGGAUGUUGACAUAAUGGCUUUAAACGACCCGUCUUGAAAMAMGGGGACACAAAAA
rnacentral:rRNA from 1 species